rnacentral:tRNA from 13 species
UCUGGCAUGGUCUAGUGGUUAGGAUACCUGGCUCUCACCCAGGAGGCUCGGGUUCGAUUCCCGGUGUCGGAA